AUAGGUCCUCUCUGUUAGUAGAUAAAUAUAAGGACCAAAAUGCAAAUAUGCCGAUUGGAUAAGGUUUCCCAAUCUCAUCUCUUGUGCGUGCGUGGUGGGCUGAUGGCCAUUCAGAGACCAUCGCCAUUGUUGACUACUUAGGGACAAUGCUCGCCGGCGUCUUGCCGCAUUCUCCUGCCACCGCUGCUGCGAGACUGAAGUCGUUCAGGAGGACGCCGAUGCGCCGUGUGCCGGCUAUGCGCCCUUGCCUGUAGGGGACGCGUACAACUACGUGGUGGAUGUGCGCCGUGGCCGGGCUGCGCGCCGGCUGUGCGCCGAGUGGUGGAGGACGCCAUCGUCGCCAAAUGCCGAGGUACGCAUGGCGGGGCUUCUUCCCUUGUUUCCUCUGGAUGUUUUGUUGAUGGUAGUUGCGAUGGACGACGAGAUUGUCAUAGUGGAUGAUGGAGAAGGGGAAAAAAUGUGAACAACAAGUCUGUUGGAGUUUGUUCCUCAUCUUCUAAUCUUGUUCUUGAUGUUGAUUCUUCUUCUUGAUUGAGGAUUUCUUCCUCUUUAUGUUAGAGUAGCGAUCAAUCCAUCUCACUACGAGCAUACGCCGGGUGAAGCGAUUUAUAAAACAGAAGAGUUGUUAGAUCUGUGAUUGAUUGCAAUAAGACAAAAACAAAUUGAAGAAUCUCCUGAUCCAAUUUUCCUCUUUUACAGAAGCAUGUCCAUUGAUUCCUGCCAUGGAAGGGUUGUGGUUGAUCGAAUCGGCAGCGAUUGAAAUUCUCCUAUGCUGAAGCCGUGCGUGCUGGAUGGAGUCGACAUCGCGAGUACAGGGGCAGACGUUGGUGCCGCCGUGACUAAUGUCGCCAUCCGCGCCAAGACUCGAUGUUGCAGUCCAGCGUGCGAGAUAACGCCGGUAACAUUGGGAAUCGCGCGAGGCGUCGAGGAGGUCUGGCCUAAUCGCUGUUAGGGCAAGGUGUUGAUAACGUGUAAAGAUGAAAAAGAGAGAGAGAAACGAAUGGAUUGAACAGUGAUUGCAUUGACCGAAGAAUAGGAUAUUUAUACGCAUGUACAGAGGCGGUAAUUAAAUAGUCGGUAACUGGCGGUUGCUAAACUAAACAACCGACCUAAGCAUUGAUUAUUAGGAUUUAAUUAAUCCUUAACAAAGACGACG
rnacentral:lncRNA from 1 species